AUGCCUUUGUCACAGAGAACCGGGGGAGGCAACAAAAGAGUAGCAAAAGCAAAUGGAGAAGCAGAAGCAAGAGCAGGUGCAGGUCCACUGAUGGCAGAAAACCAACAUAUAAGUGCCAUCAUUGUGGAAUAGAGGGACAUAUGAAGAAGAACUGCUACAAAUGGAAAGAGGAGCAAGGCCAGAGCAGUUCGCAGCCGAAGAACAAGGGUGGAGAAACG
rnacentral:lncRNA from 1 species